GCUGCCCUCCUGCAACAAUAUUCAGUUUUUGCUGCUUCACAAACAUCAUGUAGAGUUUAUCAUUGUUCUGAAAUCUUUAUAGUAACAAACUGGAUGAUAAUCUCUUAAUUAUGAAGGUCUGAUGAACCAAAGUGUUUGGAACUGAACUGAACAGAAAGUCUCUAGACCAGAUUAAAAUCUCCUGUUAUUAACGAUGGACAACAUGGACUUAGAUUAUUAUCACAGUAUUUUCUGGUAUUUACUGAAUAAUAAAAGUGAUGAUAGAAAGUUUAAACACAGCAUUGAUCAGGGAAA